rnacentral:rRNA from 1 species
UACAGAGGGUGCAAGCGUUAAUCGGAAUUACUGGGCGUAAAGGGUGCGUAGGUGGUUGAGUAAGUUGGAUGUGAAAUGCCUGGGCUUAACCUGGGAUCUGCAUACAAAACUGCUCAGCUAGAGUAAGGUAGAGGGAAGUGGAAUUUCCGGUGUAGCGGUGAAAUGCGUAGAUAUCGGAAGGAACACCAGUGGCGAAGGCGGCUUCCUGGACCAUUACUGACACUGAGGCACGAAAGCGUGGGGAGCAAACAGG